GACGAACCGUGCGAACGUUGUUCGGAUUCACUGGGCUUAAAGGGCGCGUAGGCGGACAAGCAAGUCAGGGGUGAAAUCUUUCAGCUUAACUGGAAACGUGCCUCUGAUACUGCUUGUCUCGAGGGAGGCAGGGGCAUGCGGAACUUCCGGUGGAGCGGUGAAAUGCGUAGAUAUCGGAAGGAACGCCGGUGGCGAAAGCGGCGUGCUGGACCUCUUCUGACGCUGAGGCGCGAAAGCUAGGGGAGCGAACGGGAUUAGAUACCCCGGUAGUCCUAGCCCUAAACGAUGAGUACUAGAUUGUGGACUUAACAUGGGUUCCCAAUCGAAGCAAAAGUGUUAAGUACUCCGCCUGGGGAGUAUGGUCGCAAGGCUGAA
rnacentral:rRNA from 1 species